AUGCAAAAAUAUUUUAUGCAGGGAGAAAGGUGGUGGCCUGAAGAGAAGAGUCUCUUGAUUUGAACUCUAGGUUUUUAUUCAAAUUCAAAUCUAUUUAAACUCAAAUUUAAACUAACCAAUUUUUAAUUUAGAAAGAGAUUAGAUGUGGACGUGAAACUACUUCUAAGCAUGAGAAAAAAAUUCAUGCAAAAAAUUUCUCGCUGAAGAAAUAGAGGGCA
rnacentral:lncRNA from 1 species